rnacentral:rRNA from 1 species
GAUGAGUAGGGCGGGACACGUGGUAUCCUGUCUGAAUAUGGGGGGACCAUCCUCCAAGGCUAAAUACUCCUGACUGACCGAUAGUGAACCAGUACCGUGAGGGAAAGGCGAAAAGAACCCCGGCGAGGGGAGUGAAAAAGAACCUGAAACCGUGUACGUACAAGCAGUGGGAGCACGCUUAGGCGUGUGACUGCGUACCUUUUGUAUAAUGGGUCAGCGACUUAUAUUCUGUAGCAAGGUUAACCGAAUAGGGGAGCCGAAGGGAAACCGAGUCUUAACUGGGCGUUAAGUUGCAGGGUAUAGACCCGAAACCCGGUGAUCUAGCCAUGGGCAGGUUGAAGGUUGGGUAACACUAACUGGAGGACCGAACCGACUAAUGUUGAAAAAUUAGCGGAUGACUUGUGGCUGGGGGUGAAAGGCCAAUCAAACCGGGAGAUAGCUGGUUCUCCCCGAAAGCUAUUUAGGUAGCGCCUCGUGAAUUCAUCUCCGGGGGUAGAGCACUGUUUCGGCAAGGGGGUCAUCCCGACUUACCAACCCGAUGCAAACUGCGAAUACCGGAGAAUGUUAUCACGGGAGACACACGGCGGGUGCUAACGUCCGUCGUGAAGAGGGAAACAACCCAGACCGCCAGCUAAGGUCCCAAAGUCAUGGUUAAGUGGGAAACGAUGUGGGAAGGCCCAGACAGCCAGGAUGUUGGCUUAGAAGCAGCCAUCAUUUAAAGAAAGCGUAAUAGCUCACUGGUCGAGUCGGCCUGCGCGGAAGAUGUAACGGGGCUAAACCAUGCACCGAAGCUGCGGCAGCGACGCUUAUGCGUUGUUGGGUAGGGGAGCGUUCUGUAAGCCUGUGAAGGUGUGCUGUGAGGCAUGCUGGAGGUAUCAGAAGUGCGAAUGCUGACAUAAGUAACGAUAAAGCGGGUGAAAAGCCCGCUCGCCGGAAGACCAAGGGUUCCUGUCCAACGUUAAUCGGGGCAGGGUGAGUCGACCCCUAAGGCGAGGCCGAAAGGCGUAGUCGAUGGGAAACAGGUUAAUAUUCCUGUACUUGGUGUUACUGCGAAGGGGGGACGGAGAAGGCUAUGUUGGCCGGGCGACGGUUGUCCCGGUUUAAGCGUGUAGGCUGGUUUUCCAGGCAAAUCCGGAAAAUCAAGGCUGAGGCGUGAUGACGAGGCACUACGGUGCUGAAGCAACAAAUGCCCUGCUUCCAGGAAAAGCCUCUAAGCAUCAGGUAACAUCAAAUCGUACCCCAAACCGACACAGGUGGUCAGGUAGAGAAUACCAAGGCGCUUGAGAGAACUCGGGUGAAGGAACUAGGCAAAAUGGUGCCGUAACUUCGGGAGAAGG